CUCUUAAACAUCUAACCAAUAUGCCACAUUGACACUGUAACAGGCCAAUUUGCCCGGCCCCUUUGAAACCCAAAAUAAAUAAACAAAAACCCAAAUAAAAUUAUAACAGUCCAUCAUAUGUCCUUUUACAGACUUUGACCCAAACUAAUACCCCAAACCGAACCCUAUACAAGCCCAAAUCAAUACCCAAUCCCCAAAUAAAACCCACGGUCCAAAGACAAUGGUCCAACACCCAAAAAUGAGCCCAAACGGCCCCAAAUACUGAAACCAAGACAGAAACCCUAGCAGUUCCUGCUUGCACCGCAGCAGCCCCGGCCUCCGUACCGCCUCCGUACCCUCAGCAGCGCCAUGCUCUCGUACACACGCCAACACCACCCCGUACCUGCAAAUACAGAAAAACGACAGCAGCAAAUACAAACAAAAAUUGUAUUUCUUUCUUUUUAUUUCCUUUUAAUUCUUUUUUCUUUUUUUCGGCUACAAAGCCAGGAUCUUUAAUCCUUGUAAUGGGUUACAAAAAAGGAACGCACAAAAAUAGUAGCAAUACAAAGCAAUCAAAAGCAGAGGAGGUGAUUUCCGCUAUCCACUUUCCUAUGGUCUUUUCUUUCCUUUUACUAGUAUUUGCUCACAUCUUUCAUCGAUAUAUUUCAAAAAAAAAUAAACAAAAGAGAAGGAAAAGCGAAAGAAAUCUUUCUUUCUAUCAGUAUUUACCUUGCGAAUCCGUCUUCGAUCCUCUGUCGUUUCGUCGAAAUCGAAGCUAGGGGGUUUUGAGGUCGAAGAACAAUACGCCAAAACCCGAAACACAAAACGUCGUUCUCGAUGGCGAUUUGGUGUUUGAGGAGGCACUUUAGGGUUUGGCUAAAGGAAAGGGAUAGCAAAGAGUGGGAGAAG
rnacentral:lncRNA from 1 species